CCUACGGGAGGCAGCAGUGGGGAAUAUUGGGCAAUGGAGGAAACUCUGACCCAGCAACGCCGCGUGAAGGAUGAAGGUUUUCGGAUUGUAAACUUGUGUCGCGAGGGACGAAGAAUGACGGUACCUCGUAAGAAAGCCCCGUCUACAUAGGUGACAGCAGCCGCGGUAUUACGUAGGGGGCGAGCGUUGUCCGGAAUGAGUGGGCGUAACGGGAGUGUAGGCGGAAAUAUAAGUGAGAUGUGAAAUCCCGCGGCUCAACCGCGGAACUGCAGCUAAAACUAUAUAGCUGGAGUGCAGGAGAGGUGGGUGGAAUUCAUAGUGUAGCGGUGGAAUGCUUAGAUAUUA
rnacentral:rRNA from 1 species